GGGGCCGACUGGUUUUGACAGCGAGACCAAUGGCGAUGUAAGCAUGUCGAGCGCUGGGAUAUAGCUCGUAAAUCUCAUAUUUCAAACUUUUAGUUGGCGAUAAUAAUUACGCUCUUGCCGCUUAAUCCGAAUUAUAGUAGGAUUUAGCCUCGUCUCUACCAGGUAGAGAAGCGAGAUGUCCCCGGAUAGCCCUUGUUGACGGCGAUUCAUUUAGGGGCACCAUAAAAGUCAACACAAGGGUACUAUUGCUUUGUUAGUAUCACCAAAAUCUUAAGAAGCUAAGUGUGUAAUAGGCGGUUUUUGGUCAGCUACACAUCGAAAAUUGAACAAAAACUAAACAUGUAGAAAGCUUUGUUAUUGCUUGUUUGGACGGGAGUUCGAUUCUCCCCGGCUCCACGA
rnacentral:tmRNA from 1 species